rnacentral:rRNA from 1 species
AGCAGCCGCGGUAAUUCCAGCUCCAAUAGCGUAUAUUAAAGUUGUUGCAGUUAAAAAGCUCGUAGUUGAAUUUCGGGACCAAUCUGCCGGUCGUGCCUCCGGUAUGCACUGGUUUUAUUGGUUUCUCCCUUCUGACGAAUCAUGAUGUCAUUAAUUUGGUGUCAUGGGGAAUCAGGACUGUUACUUUGAAAAAAUUAGAGUGUUUAAAGCAGGCUCACGCUUGAAUACAUUAGCAUGGAAUAAUGAAAUAGGACGUUUGACCCUAUUUUGUUGGUUUCUAGGAUCGACGUAAUGAUUAAUAGGGAUAGUUGGGGGCAUUAGUAUUCAAUCGUCAGAGGUGAAAUUCUUGGAUUUAUUGAAGACUAACUACUGCGAAAGCAUUUGCCAAGGAUGUUUUCAUUAAUCAAGAACGAAAGUUAGGGGAUCGAAGACGAUCAGAUACCGUCGUAGUCUUAACCAUAAACUAUGCCGACUAGGGAUCGGAUGAUGUUAAUUUUUUUCAAUGACUCAUUCGGCGCCU